rnacentral:rRNA from 1 species
CAAGCGGUGGAUGAUGUGGUUUAAUUCGAUGCAACGCGAAAAACCUUACCUACCCUUGACAUGCCAGGAACUUGCCAGAGAUGGCUUGGUGCUCGAAAGAGAGCCUGGACACAGGUGCUGCAUGGCCGUCGUCAGCUCGUGUCGUGAGAUGUUGGGUUAAGUCCCGCAACGAGCGCAACCCUUGUCAUUAGUUGCUACGAAAGGGCACUCUAAUGAGACUGCCGGUGACAAACCGGAGGAAGGUGGGGAUGACGUCAGGUCCUCAUGGCCCUUAUGGGUAGGGCUACACACGUCAUACAAUGGCCGGUACAGAGGGCUGCCAACCCGCGAGGGGGAGCCAAUCCCAGAAAACCGGUCGUAGUCCGGAUCGUAGUCUGCAACUCGACUGCGUGAAGUCGGAAUCGCUAGUAAUCGCGGAUCAGCUUGCCGCGGUGAAUACGUUCCCGGGUCUUGUACACACCGCCCGUCACACCAUGGGAGC